rnacentral:sRNA from 1 species
CGCAAAUUAAGUUUUUGCUAUCUGUGUUGAUGAUGGUGUGCGAGGAAGAUGAUGAAGGAUGCACGACCUACUGCGAUGGAGGAUCUCUAUUCGAUUUGGGGGUUUGACACGAUCUGUGAGAGUUAUGGUUCUUGCUCGAAAAUAUUCUCGCAGAGGUGGAGUUCUUUGGUUCGCGAUGGAGAAGAUUAAGAUGGUCAGAUGUUGAUGGUGGUUCUCACGGUGGUUGCACGAAGAGGGAGAUGCAGGUGCGAUAGUGCAUAGCAAUUUGGACUCACGGUUUGGGUGUGAUUCGUUGCAAUGGAAGGUUUCUUUUGCAGGGUGAGUUUCUUGGUUGAUUCGUGGUGGCUUGCGUGAUUGCUAAUAGUAAAGCUCACGGUGGCCCUGCAACAUGGAAAAGAUGGUGGCCUGGUACACAGCGACGCGGUGGUGGAAGGAAAAAUAUGAUUUAUAAUUUGGAGAAGAUGGUGAUAACGUGACAAGACGAUGAUGUGAGCCAACUAUUGAAAGUUUUACUAUAUGACAACUUAUCCCGUUUUUCUUAAAUGGACUCGAAACUGUUAACGAUUUAGAUGUCA